UAAAGUGCAUGGCUGCUUCUCUGGGGUCGGGUCGUGGUGGCAGCAAGCUAAGUAGGGCACUCCAGACGUCCCUCUCACCAGCAACGCCCUCCAGCUCCUCCUGGGGGAUCCCAAGGCGUUCCCGGGCCAGAUUGGACAUGUAGUCCCUCCAUUUGAACAGGUUGCUGGUUCUCUGGUCGCUGCCUA